rnacentral:lncRNA from 1 species
AUUCAGUGUUGACAGUUAUCUGCAUGCUCUUUACAGAGCCACUAAAGUGAGCCUGCCACAGGACACACAAGGCCUUUUGUCUGGGGCUCUUGUGUGGAUCUCACACAGAGCAUGAUAUCCAGGGAAGUGUAAGUGUGAUCUGGGUAACAAGGGCAUGACCUGAGGCCGAGGUUUGCUUCUGUUGAGGCACUGAGGUGACAGUGUGUUCUUUUUCUCCCUAGGACUGGCCCCUGGGAUUUGCUGCUCAGGACCCGAGUUCACUGAGACAUCAGGAGCAAGCACUGGAGGCCCGGUGCUGCUGGACCCAGAUGGGAGCCAUGCAGGACUUGACCAUUGCCUGCACACACUUCUUCCCAGGAGAAAGGGAAUGAGCAAGAACUAGAUCCUAAGAGCAGAAGACAAUCAUAUGUCCUGAGAACCCAUUGGAGGUUGAACGCUGCUGGGUGGAUGGAGAAAGGCAGAAAUGCAGAAUUUCGUCAUUGCCUGGAUGCUGACUUUAUCCAAAGAGAAGAUGCAUGAGGAGUGUACAUGCCUCAGAACUGGAUGCUGAGACAUGCCCCCGCGAUCCCAAGACCACCAGGUACCGUGAGCAAUCACUGGAGCUGGAACACUGCUGCCUGAAGAAGAAAAGAAGUGCAGGCUUGUCAUUGUCUAUGCUGUUACUUGUGGUUCCCAGGUCUUCAGAGAGGAUGCACAAAGACGGGAGGCAGACUGGCAUCACAGGACCCUUCCGAGUAUUAACGCAGACCCUGGUGACAGAGGUCCAGUACCAAGUGCGCAGCUGUGCUGAGGUGCAGGGACAGGAGGCAGAAGGGCAGGUUCCAGCCCGCUCAGCUGGCCAUGGUAAGAUACUAGCUGGUGUCCUAGGGCAGCAAGGCGCCUCCCUCUCCAGGUUCUGAAGAGAAAACACUGCAGUCUGAGUUUCUGUUGGGACCUGAGCAGAAGACAAGGAAGCCCAGCUAGGCACCCACAGCUGCUCCUGCUCUCUGUAAUCGGCCGCCAUCUUCCUUCAUUCUUUCAUGACUGAGGUGCGCGUACAGGAAGCAGAGGGGCAGGUUCCACCCCGCUCAGCUGGCCAUGGUAAUCUACUUGCUGGUGUCCUACUCUCCCGGUUCUGAAGAGAAAACACUGCAGUCUGAGUUUCUGUUGGGGCCUGAGGAGUAGUCAAGGAAGCCCAGCUAGGCACUCACAGCUGCUCCUGCUGUCUGUAAUUGGUCGCCAUCUUCCGCCAUUGCUAGGAAUCAUGGGCAGGAGGAGAGUGGCCCUGUGAGUUUUGAAACCGUGUCCUCAUGGUGGCAGUAGAGCUCCAAACAAGAGCUUGUGAGUGCUUCUCCCCCGCCCUUCCUGUCUGAAAAAACUCCAAAGAUGGCUGUCCUAACUUUUUAUUUUGAUUUUUCUUUAUUUUUCCAGACAGGAUUUUGCUGUAUAGCCCUGGCUGUCCUAGAACUCACUUUGUACAACAGGUUGGCAUCGAACUCAGAAAUCCACCUGCCUCUGCCUCCCGAGUGCUGGGAUUAAUGGUGUGCACCACUAUGCCCUGCUGUCUGCCCUAACUUUUACCCAGCUUUGAAUAGUUUCAACUGUAUUUUAUUUUUUUGUCACAUGUUCCAUGUGAAGCCAAUCUGAGGCCCUAGGUAAUGGGACUAUUUUCCUUCAGUUAUGUAGGGUUUUUCCUUUUUCUCCCUUUAUAAUUGUUGAUUUUUUCUUUUUCAGAUACUUAAUGGUUUUCAUAAAAUUUUGAUAUGUUUAAUUUUGUGUCAGUUUUACAUGAUAAAGAUAUGGUAGCAGAUUUAGAAGCCAAGGACUAUGCUGAGCCCUAGUCCUAGUGAACUACAAGAGGCUGGAUGGCCUGGGCCUUUCCAGUAGGCUUCUGUCUUUUCGUCUGGGAGUUCCAGAAUAGUCCAUGCUACCAUACCCAGAGGACAGGAGUAGGUUUAACUUUGUCUUAAGUAAACUAUCAAUAAACAAACACUUGCCAGUUGAUAAUUAUAUCUC